UGCACCGUGCUGUCUGGACUGUCUUUAAGAGAACCAGCCAGGGAGGAGAGGACUUCUUAAGGGGUGAACCACUUAAGUUGAUUCUUAAAAGAAAGUGAGAAAUUAGGUAGGAAGUGCUAAGGACUGGGAAUUAGGGAAGAACCUUUAGAUGAGGAAACAAUUUAAUCAAAGGCCUGGAAGCCUGAGAGGGUAACUGCAAGCAGCUUGGAGAGCAUGUGUUUGGCAGGUGUGCUCAGCCUCCUCCUGUGAUGUAUCUGGAUUUCAUCCUCCAUGGUGAAAGGCAAAAGGCUGUUUAUCUCUUCUCUGGUCUGUGUAUGAAAGCUACAUGAAAAUGAGCAUUGAAAGGGUUAAGUGCACUCUUCAUGCAGAAAGACAAA
rnacentral:lncRNA from 1 species